rnacentral:rRNA from 1 species
GGCAGCAGUGGGGAAUAUUGGACAAUGGGCGAAAGCCUGAUCCAGCCAUGCCGCGUGAGUGAUGAAGGCCCUAGGGUUGUAAAGCUCUUUCAACGGUGAAGAUAAUGACGGUAACCGUAGAAGAAGCCCCGGCUAACUUCGUGCCAGCAGCCGCG